AGUGAACGCUGGCGGCAGGCCUAACACAUGCAAGUCGAACGGCAGCACAGUAAGAGCUUGCUCUUACGGGUGGCGAGUGGCGGAAGGGUGAGGAAUACAUCGGAAUCUACUUUUUCGUGGGGGAUAACGUAGGGAAACCUACGCUAAUACCGCAUACGACCUACGGGGGAAAGCAGGGGAUCUUCGGACCUUGCGCGAAUGAAUGCGCCGAUGUCGGAUUAGCUAGUUGGCGGGGUAAAGGCCAACCAAGGCGACGAUCCGUAGCUGGUCUGAGAGGAUGAUCAGCCACACUGGAGCUGAGACACGGUCCUGGCGCCUACGGGAGGCAGCAGUGGGGAAUGUUGGGCAGUGGGCGCAAGCCUGAUCCAGCCAUACCGCGUGGGUGAAGAAGGCCUUCGGGGUGUAAAGCCGGUUUGUUGGGUAAGAAAAGCAGCAGGUUGAUACCCCGCUGUUCUGACGGUACCCAAAGAAUAAGCACCGGCUAACUUCGUG
rnacentral:rRNA from 1 species